CAACAGAGCAAGACCAUGUCUCUAUAAAAUAAAUACCAAUUAAGUAUUUCUGAUGAAAUUAGAGACGUUGUAAUGAGAUGUACUAUAAAUGUAAAAUAUACACUGGAUCACUGGAUUGGGGAGAAAGUAUAAAACUGUAAAAUGUCUCAAUAUUUUUUACUGAUAAUAUGUUGUGAUGAUUAUAGCUUAGGUGUAUUGAGUUAAUUAAAUUAUUAAAAUUAAUCUCACCUGUUUUUAUUUUUCAGUGUAGCUACUAGAAAAUUUAUAAUUAUAUACUUGGUUUGCAUUACAUUUCCGUUGCACAUCACUGAUCUAGGCAAUGAGAAAAUGAUCAAAAUAAUGCAUUAAUCUGAAAAUGAUUUAAUAAACCAAUAAACUUUUUAGGCUUUUUUGUUCAGAGAACAUGCUAAAUUUACAUAUGCUGGAACAUAUUCUGUGGUGAAAAAUUUAAGUGUUUUUUUCUGCUUAUCUACCUCAAGUGGUGAUAAUUUUUUUUGAGAUUUAAAAGAUUCUACUAUUUUGACAACAUUUUUUAAAAGACUUUCAGAUAAGCUACAUUUGUGUAUAUAUAUACCUUGUAUAUUUUGCAUACAUAUUGCUGUAGUCUAAAUGUGUAACCCAAAUUUCAUAUGUUGAAACUUAAUUGCCGGUAUGAUAACAUUAAGAGGUGGGGCCAUUUGGGCA
rnacentral:lncRNA from 1 species